rnacentral:tRNA from 2 species
GGUUGCUUCGUCCAGUGGUAGGAUACCUCUUUCGGGUUAAACCCGGUGUGGUGCACACCAGCUUCUUGAAAUAUAGAGGUGGUCGUGGGUUCGAAUCCCACAGUGACCC